GAUGAACGCUGGCGGCGUGCUUAACACAUGCAAGUCGAACGGUGAAGCAGAGCUUGCUCUGUGGAUCAGUGGCGAACGGGUGAGUAACACGUGAGCAACCUGCCCUGGACUCUGGGAUAAGCGCUGGAAACGGCGUCUAAUACUGGAUACGAGACGUGGCCGCAUGGUCAACGUUUGGAAAGGUUUUUUGGUUCAGGAUGGGCUCGCGGCCUAUCAGCUUGUUGGUGAGGUAAUGGCUCACCAAGGCGUCGACGGGUAGCCGGCCUGAGAGGGUGACCGGCCACACUGGGACUGAGACACGGCCCAGACUCCUACGGGAGGCAGCAGUGGGGAAUAUUGCACAAUGGGCGAAAGCCUGAUGCAGCAACGCCGCGUGAGGGAUGACGGCCUUCGGGUUGUAAACCUCUUUUAGCAAGGAAGAAGCGAAAGUGACGGUACUUGCAGAAAAAGCGCCGGCUAACUACGUGCCAGCAGCCGCCGUAAAAC
rnacentral:rRNA from 1 species